rnacentral:misc_RNA from 1 species
AACGCACAUUGCGCCCGCUAGUAUUCUGGCGGGCAUGCCUGUUCGAGCGUCAUUUCAACCAUCAAGCCCUAGGCUUGUGUUGGGGCCCUGCGGCUGUCCGCAGCCCCCUAAAAACAGUGGCGGGCUCGCUAUAUACCGAGUGCAGUAGUUUACUCUUCGCUCAGGACAUGUAGUGGGUUCUUGCCGUAAAAACCCCCCAUUUAUCAAGGUUGACCUCGGAUCAGGUAGGAAUACCCGCUGAACUUAA